UUUAACCACCAAAAUAAAUACAUUUCACAAGAUUUAUUUAAAUAAGCAAUGCUAUCGCUACAUAUUAGGAUAGUAUACAAAAUAAAAGCUAAAUAGAUUUUUUUAAAUCAAUAUUUAACCGAUUUGUAUACUAAACAAAACCGUGUUAAUGACUUUCUGGCAGAAAUUAUUUCCUUGGUGGAAUAAAAAUGUCGUCUCCCACUCGAUUCUGUUGGGAAUAAAACACAACCGAAACAAAUCGUUUCACAACCGUAAAAUAAUUCACGACCAGACCACACACCGAUAAACACACAUCAAAUAUUUAUUUACAACAUCUUAAAAAGGGCACUUCGUUUUAAAAUCCGCUGACUCAUUUAAAAGCACUGCUGUACAGGUCCUAGAUGAGCGCCAAACUGUGGACAAUUAUAUCUACGUGUUACGUUACGCCUAACUCGACAGUUUCUGGUCAAUUUCUUCACUGUGUAGGGUUUGGUGAUCGAGUAAUCGAGUUGUGAAACGCUACAGUUCGACGCGACGCCGUUGUUUUUCUUCGACGCAAACGAUAAGAAAAUGGCGCGAAAACUGAUCGCGAUUAACAAAGAGGUCAGUGAUGUCGAUAUAAAUAUCUUCAAAAGAUCGUUAAGUGACGUGACUAAACCGAUUCGCUUCUCCUGUGUGGUGUUUUUUUUUAAGUUGUUCGGGAUAUAUUUUGUUUACAGUAGUGAAACCGAUUCUUGUAAACCGAUUCAGGUGUAAAUACAACGAAAACUCACCCCAAACACGUAUAAAACGCAGUUUACUAACCCAACUGAAAGUUAUUUGUAUACGAUAUCGUUACAUACCAUCAUAUACAAAGUUUAGGUAUUAUUGUGUUAUUUUUUUAGGAGUUUUUACUUAGUAGGUUCUAAAGAAUUUUCUCUAAACAUUUACAACUUCCGUUUUUUCCGUAAAAUCACGUUUUCUUUGCUUUUUGAACGUUCUCUAUCUAUAACAAUCUAUAGUAGCAUCUAAAAAUAGUCAAACAUCCAACUAAAACGUUUCAGGAAAAGUCAGCUAAUAUUUAAUAUUUUUGUGCUGAUGUUUUGGGAACAUUUUUAGUUUGUCUAACAUUUUAAAAAAACUUUUUGAUAGAUGAACUUAAACGAUUUAAAAACAUUUCGCGAACUAUUUUUUUUUAAUAACACUAUUAGUUUGUGUAACAUUUAUAAGUACGUUUUUUUGCGCUAGCAUUUCGAGAAUGUCUAAUAUUGCAAAAAACUUCGGGGAAAUGUUUAACUAAGAUCUUUUAGGGGAAAAAAAUAAUGUAAAAACUUUACAAUGGUAAUGUUUAGUACAGUAGUCUAACAAUAAAAAUAAAAAAUAGUAUUUAGUUUGUCCAACUAAAACAUUUCAAAAUUGAACCAUGUAUAAAUAACAUUUUUUGUGUAUAAUAUUUUGAGAAUACUGUUAGUUAAGGUCUUUUUCUGCGUUUUCGCAUUCGUAGCAAUUUGAUAGUAAAGAAUGACAAAAAUGAAAAAACUUUCGGAUUCGCUGGCAAGGACCUUUAGUCUAAGAAUUAAAAAAAACAUAUUCAUUUAGUCAUUUUGCAGAUAUUCAAUCAAUGAUGUACAAAGGUUUUGAGUGAAUGCUCUGCGAACGUUAUUAGUUUGUCUAACAUUUAAAAUAAAAAAGUUGAGUGAACAGCGUAUAAAUAAUGUUGGAGAAUACUAUCAGUCUAUGUAACAUUUAAUAAACCGUUAUACGAACGUCUGCCCAAAAACGUUUCUGAAAAAUUGUUUACCAAAGGAUUCAUAAAUAACUGACUUCUAAAUUACGAUUUUUUUUGUGCUAAAAUGUUAUUAGUUUGUCUAGCAUUUCGAAAAACUAAUGCUAAUGUUUCGAGAACAUUAUUAUCCUAUUAGCUUAAAAUAAAUUGAUUAACGUUCAACUAAAAAGUUUCAGAAAACAUGUUCUAUGAAUGACAUAUAAAUAUGCUUUCGUGUGAACGUUUUGAGAAUAUUAGUUUAUUGUCUGUUUUGCAAAUCAAUUUCGAUGUUUCAUGCUUCAUGCUAACGUUUUGAGAACAUUAUUAGUCUAAAAAGUUUCAAAAUGACCAACUAAAACCUUUCAGAAAUCACGGUUCCACAAGCAACGUUUACGUAACGUUUUUUCGCGAACGUUUUGAGCACGUUAUUUAGGACCAGAUAACGUUCUAUAAACUUUGAGAAAACCUUUCCAGAACGUUCUGAGAACGUUAAAUAAACAUUCCAUAAACGUUCAUGGAAGAGCGUUUGUUUAUAACUUUGAGAAAACCUUUCCAGAACGUUCUGAGAACGUUAUUAAGGACCAGAUAACUUCAAAUUAACGUUCCAUAAACUUUGAGAAAACCUUUCCAGAACAUUCUGAGAACGUUAAAUAAACGUUCCAUAAACGUUCAUGGAAGAGCGUUUGUUUAUAACCUCGACAAAACCUUUCCAGAACGUUCUGAGAACGUUAUUAAGGACCAGAUAACUUUAAAUGAACGUUCCAUGAACCUUAAUGGAAGAGAGUUUGUUUAUAACUUUGAGAAAACCUUUCCGGAACGUUCUGAGAACGUU